rnacentral:lncRNA from 1 species
UAAAUUAUUUCAAAUUUUUAAAAAGUUCACACACACACGUAUAUAUUAUUUUGUAUUUUAAUUUUGUGAUUAUUUAUUCAAAAUUUAUUAUUAGUAAUAAUUAUUGCUAAUAAUAUAUUAAUAUAUUAAUUAAUUAUGAAAUUCUUUAUCAUUAAUAAUAAUAAUAAAUCAUAAUACAUUUUAUCAUUAAUAAAUAAUAGCAUUAACAUUAAUACAUUAAUUAAUUGUAAUUCAUUAUUAUAAUAAUAAAUAUAAUAACAGUGGUAACGGCAACAACAAAUCAAAACCGCACUGGGUUGAUGUUGCUAGAUUGCGACACCACAUCAUCAUCGCCGACAUCAUCGACACCGGUUGCUGUUAGUGCAUCGCGGUUGCUACUACUGCUCAAAAGCGGCCCAAAUGGCGACGACACCGGCAACCUGUUGCUGCUCCACAUCAACGACUACAGUUUGGCUGCUGGAUCGCGGUUGCUAUUGCUCGAUUUGGCAGCAAUGGUUUGGCUGCUACAAUUUUUUUUAUUUAUUUAUGGGAGGGCAUUUUCAAAAUUUUGAAAUGUGAAUGGGGACAGAAUCAUCAUUCCAAUGAAUAGAAGAUGGAUUUUCCACCUUCUUGAAAAUAAAUCUCUCAUUCUUAAUUCUCAAAUUAGGAUGAGUCUUAAGAUUUCAAUUUUAAUUUUCGUUUAUAUUUUGUGAAGUAACUACUAUUAAUAAUUUUGAUUUCAGAUUAUGAUUCCUCAUUAUAAGGAGUAAACAUAUCAUUAAUAAAAAUAGUCUUGAAUGAGUGUAUAAUCGCCCAGUGCCUAAUAACAAAAUGAGUUACACAAUAACGAGUGGGCCCAUGAAAAUGUCAUUUGCCAAGUGUUAAUCAGAGGCUGUCUCAUCAGCCAAUGUCCACUUAGUUUAUCGGGUCGGUUUGAAACUUAAAUCUCCAGCCUCAUCAAAUUCAAAAUUUGACGGUCAAAUUUCUCGACACCAGCCCAAAGCCCAUACGCCCGUGCGUUUAAAUGGAAUCACAGAGACCAAACCCAAAGCCACACCCAACACUAACAGAAACAGAAAGAUAAGAGAGCGAGAAACAAAGAGGGAGAUAGAAACAUGGCUGAGUAGCGAAAAGGGCAAAAAAAAUAAAAAAUAAAAGAAAAAAGAAAAAAGAGGUUAUUAGUAAAAAGGAAAAAUGAAAACCAAUUACUUAUUUUAAUAAUAUUAUUAUAAUUUUAAUCGAGCGGAUCUCUAAAUUCUAAAUCUCCUCAAAACUCAAAAAUUGAAAAAUCUAACACAAAAUUUCCCUCACUAUGGCCUUUCACGUUGCUUGCCCAAUUACAUGGUAUUGUUGUAUUACUAUUAUUAUUAUUAUCAUUAUCAUUAUCAUCACUUAAUAGAGCGAGCUUCUCUCUUUUUCCCUCUAUAGCGCUCUCUCUUUCGCGGCUGCUCUUUCAUUUUAAUUACUCUCUUUGUUUGGCUGUUUGCAGCAAGCGAAUUUGCUUCUGCACGCUAGGGUUUCCGCGGAGCGUUCAGAGUUCGAAGGCGCGAAACGACUUCGUUCACGAUGUUGUCUUGGUGGAGGAGUUUUUGAAAGAUCCUUUGGGGAGAUUUAGGGUUUUAAUACAUUUUAUCAUUAAUAAAUAAUAGCAUUAACAUUAAUACAUUAAUUAAUUGUAAUUCAUUAUUAUAAUAAUAAAUAUAAUAACAGUGGUAACGGCAACAACAAAUCAAAACCGCACUGGGUUGAUGUUGCUAGAUUGCGACACCACAUCAUCAUCGCCGACAUCAUCGACACCGGUUGCUGUUAGUGCAUCGCGGUUGCUACUACUGCUCAAAAGCGGCCCAAAUGGCGACGACACCGGCAACCUGUUGCUGCUCCACAUCAACGACUACAGUUUGGCUGCUGGAUCGCGGUUGCUAUUGCUCGAUUUGGCAGCAAUGGUUUGGCUGCUACAAUUUUUUUUAUUUAUUUAUGGGAGGGCAUUUUCAAAAUUUUGAAAUGUGAAUGGGGACAGAAUCAUCAUUCCAAUGAAUAGAAGAUGGAUUUUCCACCUUCUUGAAAAUAAA